rnacentral:misc_RNA from 1 species
UGUGGGAGGGGGCUUGCCCCCGAUAGCGGUGUGUCAGUCAAGUUUCUUUAACUGAACCACCGCUAUCGGGGGCAAGCCCCCUCCCACA